rnacentral:lncRNA from 1 species
AUCCAACCGAAACCUGGUUCCCCGACUCCCAUCCUCCCUGCCGGGCAGGAAUUGUUUUCCUAUUACAUCCUUCUCUCGCACCUUCCCCGCUUCCCGCAGCAGCCUCCACUGUCCUCACCGUCCCCAUCCUCAUCCAUGGCGAAAUCCUCGCCCCCGGCCUCAUGAAGAUCCAGCACGUCCGCCAUCUUGCCUCCCUUCUUGCUCUCGUCCGUGCCGCUCAGGCACUAGGCACCUCGGGAAACUGUCGCGGAGGGGAAAGGUCGCUAGUCAAGUUGACCAAUCAAAAGCUAAGUCUAAGUCCCGCCCCCGGCGCAGCGAAAAUACGCAAUGGAGGCGGGCCUUAUUCGGGAAGAUGCCGGAAGUGUUCCUGUAGCCAUCUUGAGCAAGUGGUCAGCUGAACAGAGUGGCACUGUUAGGGACAAGGUAACGGGUGGCUGCAGGCAGUGCCCUAUUAAGUAGGGCAGCCGAGGAGAAAUACUACUGCCAGCGGAGCACAGCCGAAUUUCUUUAUUAGAGGAUUGUGUACCGUCUCCUUGGACUCCGUACCAAAUGGAAGUUUGAAGAACGUUUUUUCUCUCAAAACUUCUAGACCUGUAUCCUGCUCUGAAGAGCAGCUGGAUCUGUGAUGGAAACAUUUUAAAAAUAGUUCAGUCCGUAAUGCUGGGUACUGAAGCUGUUUCUGGCUCGUACUGCAGCACCGAAUAUCUCUUAACACUAACAGACCUGGUUGUCCGGGAACUAGCAUUGGUGACACGGGUGUCAACUUCUUAAAAUUUUUUUUGUUGUUAUAAUUUUUUUAAGAUAAACUCUCAAACUCUUCCCACCACCUCUGGGGAUUAAAAAACAAAACAAAAUCAUGGCUUUGAACAAAAUGGGGGCUUUAACCUCUUUGGGAAUGGUGCGUGUAUUUCAUGUUUAAAAACCUAGGCGUUGAAAAAACAAACAAACCUAGGAGUUGAGGCAAAACCCAUAUUGCCCCCAAAUUCUGGAAUCCUGAUGUAAGUAAACCUUUAACAAUAGUGGACUGCAGAUUCAUUUAUUUAUUAAUUUUUUAAUCAAGCCGUUAUGUGACUUUAAUAUUAGAGAAAGUGUGGGCAAUACAAGGCAAAAUAAUCUCAUUAUCAACAAUCACUUUAUAACUACAUUAUGAAAGUGAUAAUUGCUACGACAAAGUGUAAUGGCAGUACAAAGAAAGUUUCUAAUAGGACUGGGAGUAAGAAGGGCUUCCAUUUGAACUGGGCCUUUAAGGCUGGGUAGUUUUCCAGGCCACGCAGCUGUACUGAGAAUAGGAGACACUAAUCCAUUCUCCACAGUAAGUAGUGUGAUCCUUGAAAAAAAAUCAGCUGGUCAUAUCCCUAACAAAACCCUUCCUUGACUUUUUCACUUGGGAAUAAAAUUUGAACUGCCUACUCUGCCUAUUUACAACGACCUCCAUUACCAUUCUGCCUUCUUAUUAAGCUCUCCCUACAUUUUCCCUCAACUGUGCUGUCUCUUUCCCACCUCAGGACUUUUGCAACUUUCUGUUCCUGAUGCUCUUAUUCCAGCUCUUCACAUGGCUCAUUCAACUUCAUCCUUUAGGUCUCCCUAAAAUACUACUUUCUCUACUUUCCUGUCCUUCACUCUUGUUUAUGUCCUUCACAGAACUAGCUUACUACCUUGUUUACUUUCUGACUCGUUUAUUGUCUGAAUUCCCAUUAGAGUGUAAUCCUUAUGGCAGAGACCCUUAAUUACAACAAUAUCCCCAAAGUUUAGACCAGUGUCUAGCUCACAGUAGACAUUUGAUACAUGCUUAUUGAAUGAACAAAUAUCAGAAUGGCAAGAAAUUGUUUGCCUGAUGCUGUGUGGCUAGGAAAUAAAGCUAGAAGUACAGGUUAGGGCCAAAAUGUAUGCCAUGCUAAGGAUAUUGAAAUUUUAUCCCGUAGGCAAGAAUUUCUGUACUUCAAGUAUUUGAGUAUUCAUGAUUUUUCACAACUGUAAAUAGUCCCCAUGCUGUUUCUUGAUUAGUGUUUCUCCUUAUGUAGACUGACUUUUUAAUUAAACAAAUUUUCACUAAAUUUAAAUAUCACUGCCAUAAAUGUAAAAUCUGUAUUUUUUUCUACUACAGUUUCCGAUUAAAAUAUAAAAUAAGUAAAAAUGAAAAAUGUUUGCCCCUCUACCACCUAAAAUCAUCUCAGGUAAUACCAAGGGUUCCCAUAUAAAACUUCGGGGAAUGCUGUUAAGGACAAGGAUAGCUAAGUGAUGGUUUAAGCAAGGUAGUGGUGCACUCCUAAGUAUUUUAGAAAGAAAUCUGACAGUAGUUGAGAGGAUGUUAAGAAUGAAGGCAGAGGCUGGUAAGGAAGCUAUUGCAGUGGUCCAGCCCAGAGAUGAUAAAGGACUGAACUAAGGCAGUGGAUAUGGACAAGACAGAUUAGGAAGUUUAUAUAGGAGGUAAACUCAACAGCAAGUGACUGAUUAGAUCAUGGUAAGGAAUGGACCUAAGGUUCUAAUUUAAGUAACUGGGUAGAUAAUAAUCCUAAUAACAGAUUUGGGGAGUCAAAGAAGAGCAUGUAUGAAAUGGCUUUUAUUUUGAAUAUGUGACUUCAGAGAGCUUGUGUCAUAAAUUCAGGUGGUGAGGGGCACCUGGGUGGCUCAGUCGGUUGAGCGACCAACUUCAGCUCAGGUCAUGAUCUCACUGCUUGUGAGUUCAAGCUCCACAUGCAGCUCUGUGCUGACAGCUCGGAGCCUGGAGCCUGCUUCGGAUUCUGUGUCUCCCUCCCUCUCUGCCCCUCCCCUGCUUGCUCUCUCUCUCUCUUUCAAAAAUAAAUAAACAUUUAAAAAUUUUUAAAAAUAAGAUAAAUUCAGUUGGUGAUGUCAUGGAAAUAUAGAUGUAAAAGCUCAAAAGGGUGAAAGAGAUUGAGAAUGGUGUAUAAGAUAGAGUUGAAGUCACCAUGGUGAGUGAGUUCGCUAGUGGAAAUGGGUAGACCUUGAAAAGAAAGGGUCAGUGACAAAAUCCAGGUUCCUCAAAUGUCUGAAGGGGAAGCAGAAUGCCUUCCCCCAACAGUACAAUCUUAUUUCUGCCACCCAAAAAAUACUAAUCAAAAUUAUCUUUUAGUCUGUUUAUAAAAGAAAGGGUCGUUUUAGAGUUCCUCUGAUACAUAUGUCUUAAGAAAGAGUCAAUCUGGCUCACUAGACAAAAAUCUAUUUUUAAUUGUAUAAAAUUAUACAUAUAAAAUACAUAGAAAGUAGUAAAAAGAUAAGCAAAAUCUUUAACAAUGAAAGUGGACAGAUCAGGGAACAAUUUUUCUCCAGUGCUUUGGGAUCUUAACUGGUUGUUACUUGAGAAAAAUAAUCCAGGAGGUGCAAAGGAGAAGUUCUUCCCACAACUCACACCCCUUCACACUUCUCAGAGAAAGGAGCAUAGGAGAAAUGAGGGUUUAUGAUGUCUGGAUUAUAAAUAUCAAUAAAAACUGGGUAGACAUACCUGUUAUUUAACAUAGGAGCCUCUACUCCUACCCUACAUGUGCUUCGUGGUAUACAGAGAUGGGACUUGGAGAAUUCCAGGAGGUCCCUUUCGAGCACUAAAACAGUUGCUAGAUUCCUUACCACUGAUCCCAUAUGUACUGAUCACCAAGAUGAUUUCAAAAGCAAAAAAGCUGAUUUUCAUCUUAUCCCUGUCUGAUCCAAAAGAGCAAAUUGUGGCUUAUUUCCUAACCUAUUUCUAAAAACAAAGUGUUUAAUCAUAGAAUGGAAAGUCCAAUUUUGCAGAAACAGGAAACGUCCCAACACAUUUUAGAAAGUGCACCGAACUAUAAUAUAGUAUAAAGGAGUUUAUAGAAACAAAGGGAAAACACAUCUUUGAGAGACCUAUAAAAAAUUCUCCCAAAGAGGAAUGCUUUAGCUGUACUCCAGAUAUUUCUCCCCUAUUUCACCCAGGAGAGAGAUUGGGGGUGGGAGGCGGAGAGUCUUAAAAACACAGUUGAUCAUGUAGUCUCUUUUCCCUCCUGCAGUCUCCCCAGGGUUCCAGUUAGGAAGUGCCAUAAUGCCAGUCGCAACUAAUUUUCUUGAUCAACUCCUGCUCUAAUAACCAACGUGGAAGAAGAGGAAAGAAAAGAGAGAAAACAACUGUGAAUCUAUGGACAUCAAAGGUAGCAAACAGCAGCAACUUUGUGAGAGAGGAACACGGCCCUCACCAAAGAGGACAAAUAAUGUUUCCAAAGAGCAACAUGAAGGGAAGAGACAGAGUUGGGAAAUAUGUUUACCUCCUACCCAUUUCUGCAGACAGGAAGGUUUAAACACAGGGCUCAGUGAAGCUGGGUGAGCAGAGAGGAAUGAAGAGGGAAUAUUGGAAGAGGCUUCAAUGCUGAUCCCUUCUGGAGCAAGAACACACCCGGGAAGCUGGUAUGGUAUCUAUGCCCCAGAAGCAACUUAGGUGAUAAACACCUAGUUUUGUGUUUAUAAUUCCUCUCUUCUUCCUGGGAAGUUUCUCAGGAAUAAUUUGAACAAGCAGCUGUCUACUUCCUUCCAAAUUAAUAAAGGAAGUCUCAAAAUGAAGUACCGCUUGGAGGCAGAGGAGGAGUAAGGGAGUGGCGGGAAGCGGUUGGUGGGGAGUCUAGGCAAGGAAAUGUCUAGUCACUGGAGGAACAGCUCAGUACUAAGUAGGCCCAACUCAAGAUAAACUUAAGCCAAAGCCUUCAUACUCGUACCCUGUUUGGAGUCCAAGAGAAAGCAGGAAUGAGGUUGAGGGUGAGGGUGGGGCACACAGACCUUAUUCAAACUCCCUGUUAGAUUAUAAGAACACUUUGUCAAUCAUUUUGUGCUAUUGAAAUGACUACACAGAGCUGGGAGUAUAAGCACCAACAAAGCUCUGAAGACAGCCUGCUCUUUUUACAAAGUGGAAUGAGGAUGUUUCAAAGGAAACUACAUCCAAAAACUAGAAGAAAAGGGAUCUCUCAGCAAAUUGGGAUCUGAGUGUAGAAUUUAUACAUAUACAUAUAUAUAUCUAUAUUUUAAAGUAUAAAAUUGAGAAAGUAUGUACAGAAAUCAUACUAAGUCUUAGAAAAGACAUUAUCAAAAAGAGCCUGGAGAGGAUGGGGAGUAUGUGCAUGGACGCCUAGCAGUUGGAGGAAUGCAUAUUGCCCAACUGCCCAGCGGCCAGCAGGAGAAUAUCUUUCUUCUCCUUGUGGAAGCGCAGCUCCUUGCCUGCCAGCCGAGCUUCGUCCAGCUCCCGCUCAGUAGAGGCCAGCUCUCUAGACAGUGCCCCUGGCACACUCUGCUCCCGGCUCACCCAGUCCAAUGCCAUUUGAUGGCGAAUAUCAUCAUCCAGGGCCCGGUGUGAAUAAUGAGCCAACACUUCCUGCAAGGGGAAAGGAAAAUGAAGGUUACUGACAAAGUCAAGGUUCAUACCAAAUGGACCCAAUGGGAUGAGGAACUCUUAGCCUUGGAGUCCUAACUGAAGUCAGCACGUAAGUCCUUUAAGGAGAUUCUUAAGGGAAACUUCCCCGUGGGGGAAGCAAGGCAGGCAAAAGAGCUACAGUUAAGAUCUAAAUAGGAAAGAUGUUAGGAAUGAAGAGGGUACUUUGAGGCUUUCAGGAUUCACAACCUGGUAACUAUAGGCCUGCUUAUGUCUAACAUAACAGCCACCUCGAAAUAGUCCUUCUGCAAGACUCCUCUCACAGACAGGGUCUCUUACCUGCCGAGAGCACUGUCUCUCCCUCAUGGCCUUAAGGCUGCCAUUCCAGUGCAGCAGCUGAAAAACUGUCAUUAGUUCCUGGAGGAAGAAGACAUGAAGUGCCAGAACAGUGAUUUAUAUUGAGGGUUUGCAUCACAAUUACAUGGGGGACCUUUUACAGAAUGUAUUUACGUAAGCAUCUCUUUUUUUUUUUUUUUAAUUUUUUUUUCAAUGUUUAUUUAUUUUUGGGACAGAGAGAGAAAGAGCAUGAACGGGGGAGGGGCAGAGAGAGAGGGAGACAGAAUCGGAAACAGGCUCCAGGCUCUGAGCCAUCAGCCCAGAGCCCGACGCGGGGCUCGAACUCACAGACCGCGAGAUCGUGACCUGGCUGAAGUCGGACGCUUAACCGACUGCGCCACCCAGGCGCCCCUAUAAGCAUCUCUUAUACCAACUCUGAUGUGCCCUUCAGGGAAGGAAGGUAUUUAUAUAUUGAAAAAUAUUCUAACCUUCUCUCCCUUCCCUUCCAACUGAUGAUCAAUGAGUUAGGGAUUAGAAGGAAAUAUAAUUAAUAUAAUAUAAUAUAAUAUAAUAUAAUAUAAUAUAAAUGCAGGUUGAUCCAUGUUAUGAGAGCCAUAGUACCUGGAACUCCAACAUUGACUUGCCCUUGUUGGAUUCCAGCAUGAAUCGGAAGGCACCAAUCCCUGUGUUUGGGUUGUCAGCUUCCUCCCUGUUGCCCUGUAACAGAGGAAAGGAAAAGACAAAUAGAUUUUCAAUCAGGAUUAUCACCUCAAGCAGCACUGUCCUGUAGAAAUAUAACGCAAGCCCCCAAUCUAAUGUAACAUUUUCUAGUUGCCACGUUAAAGUAAAAAUAAACAGGUAAAAUUAAUGUAAAUAGCAUGUUUUAUUUAAGCUAAUAUAUUCAAAAUAUAAUUUAGCUAUACUUAGCAUAAAAAUUUUUCAUGAAAUUUUUACAUUCUUUUUCUUAUACCAGGGUUUCAAAAUCUGAAGUCUCUUCCACAUUUACAGCACAUCUCGAUUCAUACUAGCCACAUAUCAGGUGUUUAACAGCUACAUGUGGCUGGUGGCUAUUCUGCUGGUCAGCAUAGACCUAGAAGACUCCAAAGUCAUCACACAUAUUAACUCAAGUGACAGAGGUCAAUCUGAUUUUCCCUAUCUUACAAAGAGGGAACACUGAAACAUAGAGAAGAACCCCGAUUUAGCCAAAAUAACAGAGUGAGUCCAACACACAGGAUUGGACUAGCCUAGAGGAUAAUUGGGCAAAUGCAUUUUCAAGGGAAACAGUAGGAGCCAUAAAGCAUAGUAAAUUCUGGGUAGCAGUUUGGCCUCUUAGACAUUUGGCUUGUGUGUUCUAGUGGUUACAUGACCCUGUGGGGAUAGAACUAAGAUUCAUUGCCUGUGCAAACAAACAAUACGGUAUAGACUGGAUCUCCUACUAAUCUUGAGGCCUUGGGGAAGUCAUUUAACCUCUCUGUUCCUGUUUCCUCAUCUGUAAAAUGGGAAUAAUCACAGAUCUAUCUCCUAAGAUUGUUUUGAGAAUUAAAUAAGAAAUUAUUUAAAAAGGGAUAAAUGUGGUUUUAAAACUCCAAUUAUAUAAAAUGUGGUACAUUAUUAUACUAGACUUGGUAUCCAGUUACACAAUCCAAAUCCAUUCUGGUACUGGCUUUGGUUUAGUGGUACUUGAUGGUGGUUUAGUAUUACUGGGGAUAAUUCCAGACCCUGGGGCUGGCUGGGACUUCCAAAAUAAGGGUAGCUGCUAUUUUUUUUUGGUGACCUUUUUGUCAGCCUGAUCUAGGAAAAUAAAACCAGGAGACUUCUGGGAACACAGGAACCCAACUUUCUCCUUCUACUUCCUGACAAGUUGCCUGAUCUUUCUAGCCCAUUCUGCACCACCGUCCCUGCUCCACGCCUCCCAAGAUUCUGCUCUCUUUGAGAAAGGGGACUAGGUAGAAGUGAGGAGCCAAUCAAGUUAUAUCCAAAUUCAGUUUAUUAUGGGGCACUUCUCCAUGGGGCUGUACUGUAUAUGUAUUAUAAUAAUUCCAUGUGCUUAGUAAGUAUACCAUAUGUGCUGGCUUAUUUGUUUUCACUCUGCUAGAAUCAACAAGAAGUCACACAAGAUCAACCCAUAUUAUUUUGUGGCUUCUGAGAAGCAACAUGCCAACCAGUAGUUAAUCUUCAUGGUGAAGCAAAGAACACAAAAUUUGGAUUUAAAAAAGAAAAGCUACAGAGAGGAAGGAAAAAGGUAACCUUCACUAUUAGCAUUUAGGGCCCUGAAGCAAUUAACCUGUUUCAUGGUUGCCUAUAAUCAUUCAAUAUGGUACCUUAUUCAGUACCUCCAGAGUUUUCCAUGAUAUAGUACAUAGAAAGUAAUGAUUAUCUCUGUACAGCCAACUGGGGUAUACAGAAGAAGCUGCGGGCAGAGGAGCCCAUCUAUCCCAGGCCUUGCUCUUGGACAGAGCAUGAGCAGCGGAGGGGCAGAGAAAGAGAGGGAGACACAGAAUCUGAAGCAGGCUCCAGGCUCUGAACUGUCAGCACAGAGCCCGAGGCGGGGCUCGAACUCACAAGCCAUGAGAUCAUGACCUGAACCGAAGUCAGACCCCCAACUGACUGAGCCACCCAGGUGCCCUGAAAUCAAUGUGAUUUGGAGUAUGGCGAUUCCACUGGGAAAUUAAUGAGCAAUCUAUUAAAUUCUCAGUUUUGAGGGGUUAGGCAAAUAGAAAUAUUGGCAGAGAAUAAAAACAAUUUGUUUCCUAAACACUUUGUAGUAGACACUGCUGGUGACUUAGCCGACAUCUGUUUCCUUCUUCCUUACUAUAGAACCUUAAUCUUGUUCUACUACCUACCAUCUCCCAUGUAUCUCCCUCAGGGAAGAGUGAUUUUAUCCUCUAAUUUCAGUGGGUAAAUCCUAACCCAUUUUGCUUGUAAUUGGUUUUAAGGUGGGAAUUCUGGCCAUUAGGAAGUAGAAGGGAGGUCUACUGGCGGGUUUCUGGGAGAAGAUUCCUUACUACUAAAGAGGUACUAAAAGAAGGUCUCAGGGCACCUGACUGGCUCAGUUGGUAGAGCAUGCAACUCAAUCUCAGGGUCUUGAGUUCAAGCCCCACAUUGGGUGUGGAGCCUACCUACUUAAGAAAGAAAGAGAGAAAGAAAGAUGGUGUCUUUCUGUCUUUGAAUAUGGUUACAUCUGUAUUUAAUAUCUGAAAUUCUGUAGUCAUCUUGCACCCUUGCAUCUGAAGGGAGCCAGCUCAAGGACAAAGACAGUAUCUAGAGGAUGGCUGAAUGGAGAGAUGGAAAGAAUUUGGCUAGUAGAUGAUGACAUUCUUGAUCCAUGGAAUCAACCAGCCUUGAAAUCUUCUCUACUUCUGGACUUCCUGUCAUGUUAGAGAGUAAAUUUCCUUUCUUGGUGUAUUCCCUUAAGUCAGUUUGAAGUAAGAUUUUUCUAUUACUUGCAUCCAAAGGCAUCAAAACAGAUAACACGUGCUAAGUGCUUAAAUAUAUUCUCUUCUAUCCAGUAAUCCUACAGGUAUAAUUGUUACAGAUGAGGAAAUUGAGACUUAGAUUAAGUAACUUGCUCAAAGCCACAUAGCUAGUAGAACCAUAAUUUCAAAAUGAUGAAUUCAGAGUCCAUGCUUAUAAGCAUUGCUUUCUAUAAUCCAAACCAGUGUUUCACUUUAUAAUAUAUUAGGUGACUUAAGAGUGAUAAAUGUACUUUCUUAAUUUAAUUGGCUUUGAUCAAUAUAAAAAAUUGUUUUUAUUCCUUGUAGAUACUUCUGACCAGGGCAAAGAGAAAUGGGAGGAAAUCAGAUGGGUAACAGAGGGAAGCCAACUUAUUAUCUAAAGUGUUCAACACUAA